CCUACGGGAGGCAGCAGUGAGGAAUAUUGGUCAAUGGCCGGAAGGCUGAACCAGCCAUGCCGCGUGAAGGUCAGUGCCCUAUGGGCGUUAAACUUCUUUUGUGCGGGAGCAAUAAUGGUCACGUGUGGCCAGACGAGAGUACCGUACGAAUAAGCAUCGGCUAACUCCGUGCCAGCAGCCGCGGUAAUACGGGGGAUGCAAGCGGUAUCCGGAUUUACUGGGGGUAAAGGGAGCGUAGGCGGCCUGGCAAGCCUGAUGUGAAAGACCGGGGUCCAACCCCGGGGCUGCAUUGGGAACUGCCAGGCUGGAGUGCCGGAGAGGCAGGCGGAAUUCCUGGUGUAGCGGUGAAAUGCGUAGAUAUUAGGAGGAACGCCAGUGGCGAAGGCGGCCUGCUGGACGGUGACUGACGCUGAGGCUCGAAAGCGUGGGGAGCAAACAGGAUUAGAUACCCCAGUAGUC
rnacentral:rRNA from 1 species